rnacentral:rRNA from 1 species
CUGCUGCCUCCCGUAGGAGUCUGGGCCGUGUCUCAGUCCCAAUGUGGCCGUCCACCCUCUCAGGCCGGCUACUGAUCGUCGCCUUGGUAGGCCGUUACCCUGCCAACCAGCUAAUCAGACGCGGGCCCAUCUCGCACCACCUGGGUUUUCAGGGCAGGGGCAUGCGCCCCCGCCCGCUAUGCGGUGUUAGCACCUAUUUCUAAGUGUUAUCCCCCAGUGCGAGGCAGGUUGCCCACGCGUUACUCACCCGUCG